UUUGUGUGUAGGUGGGUGGGUAGGUUUGGAAGUGGGGUUUGUUUUGAUAAUUCACAAUGGAAUUGUCUUUGUAAACAUUAUAGGUAGUUGUUUUUAGUAUUUUAUUUAUAUGUAAUCAUUUGUAAAUUAAGGGAUUUUGAAGCAUUUCAGAAAUUAUUUUUGAUUCAUUGUAUAAUUAUGUUUUCCUGUAUUAAUCUCCUCUUUAUUUGACAAUCAGUUGGAUAAUUUUGGUGAAAUGCAGUGCUUAUAUAACUAUUUGGUGAGGGAAAUUUAUGUUUUACUUAUUGAAAUCUUUAAUUAUGUUCAUUUUCUAUAAUUAUUUUGUGACUACACAUAGUUGCAUGUGACUUAUAAAGGUUGUGAUGAGACAGUUGCCCUCUCUUUAACAUGUGGAACUACAAAUUAUAUGUGCUAAGAAAAAUAAUCUGAUAAUGCAAAAAGAAAAAGUGUGUUUUUGAAAACAAUAUUAUCAUAAUGAUGUUACUGUCAAUAACUACAUUCUGGACAUAUAGGAUUCUCAAUAUUUUCAUGAUUUUCAGUAAACUGUUAUAACCUUAUUUAUAACUUUGUGCAUGAAAAAAUUGUAAUUUGAAUGAACAGUUUUAAACAAAUCCUUAUUACUUUAAAGUUGAAUUGUGUUUAACGCACAAAGGGAGUAGCACGCAAAAAUGAACGUUGUGCAAUCUAAAUUAGAUAAAAUCAUCAGAAUAUGGACAUUAUAGUAUUGUAAAAAAACCUUUCUGUAAGUAAUAAGGUUAAACUUAAUUAUUUAAUCGUGUUCAAUUGCACCAAUCUUCUGAUUUAACAUGAACUUGCCUAUUAAUUUUUUGCUCAAGGUCGGGACAGCUAGUUGUCAAAAUUGGCGUUUUCUCUGUCAGCCCAAAGUUAAAGUGAAUUCCUUAACAAAGAGAUGCUUUUCAAAAAAUAAAAAAAAAAAACAACUGGUUUUAUAUGGGUAGAUUCACUUAUAUUUCUAGGUGCUUGGCACUGUAAAGUCUGUCAAUCUUCUAUCUUUAUCUUUUAUCCAAAGUACCAUGUUUGUGUCCCUUCCCAUCAUGCUGUCAAAUAUUGAUUGGUGCUUUUGAAUAAGCAACAUGGAUUAUAUAGAAAAAAUUAUUAAAAUUUUAGAAUCAAAAUUGUUUAAUCACAUUAAAACACUAUAAUACCCUGUUUAUAUAUUGUAAGGAAUCAUUUACUGUAUAGACAUAUACUAUUUAAAAUAUUGGUUAAAAUGAAAAGAAAUAAUCAUAUUAUGACAUAUAACCUAUUUCCUUAAUCAUUUAUGAAUAUAUACUGAUCAUAGAUAGGUUUGUUUAAUCACAUUGAUAAAAUAUAAAUCACCGUACUAAUCACAUAGAACAUGAAAAUAAUCGCAUUAGUAAAUGUAAAGAAAUCAUUUAGUAAUGUAGAAAUCACUUAAAUAAUCACAUAAAAAAUCAUGUAGUAAUCAUAUCCUAAAAAAAAAGAGAAAAAGGGUCAAGAACUAAGUGAAAGGCAAAUAAUAAUAACAAAAAAACAAAAAAAAACACACGCACACACCCACCAUUCCACAGUUUUCAUAUCAAUUUUUUUUCCCAAUCAUUUUUUAUCUGGAAAAAAAACAACAUAUUUUUAAAUUAAAUAUAAAGAAAUAGUUAUAAAGGAAUAGUAAUAUGGCUUGAAGAUAAGAAAAGAUACCGAAUGUAAAUUAGGGCUUACAGGCUGGUUUGAAAUUUUGACUGUCCAAAUUUUGGCUGAAGUUAUAUUUAAAAAAAAAAAAGGAUGCUUGGUUAAAACUGUAAUUUCAACACGUGUUCAAUAGAAAGUUAAAAUUUUUUGGAAUUAUUAACUUCAUUCAAUAUGAGAUUCUUGAAUAUAUGGAAUUAAUUAUGAUAAAUAAUAAAAAUAAGAAUGCCUAAAAAAAAUUUUGUUAUCAUAUUGUUAUGUAAGAUCAAAGUAGUAUUGUAUUAACCUGUUAGCCUUUAUUAGCCUUUGCCUCCAGUAUAGAGCCAGGCCAGCCUACACAACCAUAUACUGUUAAUAGUUGAACUUUUGUAUCUUUAUAUUGAAAACACUUGCCGAUUGAAUGGACUGUUCGGAACUCAAGGGAUGGCAAAUUCAUUACACAAAUUCAGCUGGUUAAGCUUUCAGUUGUUGAAGUUAGAUUCUCACUAAGUCGAUAUGGUGCUAAUUUUGUAGUGCUAUUUAUUAUUAUUGAAAUUUUUUGCUGGUUUAGUAGUAAAGAUGCAUUGCUGCCAUAGAAAUUGCUUAUAAAAAUAUAUUUUUAUUAUGUCUUCCACUGAGCAAUUUCCUAUUUAUACAGUAAGCCAAAACGAAAAAACACCCAUCCAGCAUGCUUUGUUUAAUAAGUAUAUUUAUAAUGUGCCAUAGGUGAAAAACGUAGUUGCUAAGUAUUUUAAUAUUGUAUGUGUAAAGUGCCUAUGUAUGUUCAUCAUUUUUCAAAGUAAUUUAUUAUAAAAUGCUAGAAUGUUCAUGAAAAUAAACGUCUUUUUUAAUAAUGAGAAUGAAGUUUUUAAAGACGUAGAAAUACAUCUACUUGUUUUUGAGUAGUUGAGACAGAAGUUUUAGUUCUAUGAACUUACUGUUGGGUUGUUCCAGUGAAAGAAUUUGCAUUAAAACUCUUAAUGGGACAGACUUGCAUUUUUUUCCUAUACUGCUUAAUGCAUUAAAUGGUAUUAAUUUUUAGUUUUAUGAAAAUGUUAGGAUUAUAUUAUUAUCAUAUAACUUUGAAAGAUAAUUAAUUAUCAUAUUAUUAGAUAACUUUGAAUGAUAAUAUUAUUAGAUAACUUUAAAAGAUAAUAUUAUCAUAUUAAUAGAUAACUUUGAAAGAUGUUUUAACAUACAGAGCAUAAUGUUUUAAAACCUUACAUUUACUGCAUGUUGUUUUUAAAUUUGAUAUAACAAAUAUUUUGAAGUUGUCAGGGAUUUUUUUGUUUGUUAAUUAGUGCUUUUCCCCCUUUUCUGUAUAUGACUGCCUUGGCAAUCAGGCUCUUGUUUAAAUUAUUAUUUGAAUAUAUAGACUUUUAUAAAUGGCUGUAUAGAGAAGGGGAAUUGGAAUGGAAAAAAAUACAACACAACUGGUGUAUGAAUUUACAAGAAUUGUUCUUACUUUAUGUAAAGAUUGUUAGUUAAUUUUAUGUAGUUAAUUAUAUGUGGAAAAAAACCAGUGGGAGGGAGGUAAUCAAAACAUUCCGAUUUCUAACUUUAAAGUAUUAAGAUUUUUAACUUGAAGGGAGAUAAUCAAAUUAUGAUUUUUCACAUAAAGAAUUAUAAUUGAAAUUGUUAAGAUUUUUAACUAAAAGGGAGAUUAUCCAUAUAUUAAGAUUUUUACCUGAAGGGAGAAAAUCAAGGUAUUUUGAUUUUUUUACCUGAAGGGAGAUAAUCAAGGUAUUAUGAUUAUUUUUACCUGAAGGGAGAUAAUCAAGGUAUUUUGAUUUUUUUACCUGAAGGGAGAUAAUCAAGGUAUUUAGAUUUUUUACCUGAAGGGAGAUAAUCAAGGUAUUAAGAUUUUUUUUUACCUGAAGGGAGAUAAUCAAGGUAUUAACAUUUUCAACUUGAAGGGAGAUAAUCAAGGUUAUUAAGAGAAUCCAAAACCUUUUUGGAUUUUGGAAGGUUAUUUUAUUGUUUAAAUGAAGCAUAUUUGUAAUAGAAAGGGAAAUAAUUCAAAAUAUUUUUUUCAGCGAUAGGGGAGAUAAUUCAUAGCAAUUUUUACAUAAUUUAAGUGGGUAUUGACUUGUGAUAGGAACUUUAAAUGUGCAAGCUGGACUUGAACUGUUCACUACAUAAAUAAAAUUUAUAUAUUUUUGAGAUACAGACAAUUUUUUUGGGAAUAUAAAGCUAAAAUUAUAGGUGGUAGUUAUAACUAGUUCUAAAUCAAAAUAAUGGAAGUCUCUGUUGUAAUGGAAUUGUACAAGAUUGUAUUUCAAAUUCUUGCGAUUUUGUGACCCUCAAAAAAAACACCACCUGGUGAUUAAGACCAGCCUUUUACUUAGGCCUUUUAUAAGUAGGUUUGUUAAAGAAGGGUUAUUUUUUUUUAGAAUUUGAUUCACAACUUUAAAAAAAAAUUAAAGAAAGCUUUUGAUUUUAAAUAAAUUUAUUUAAUUUAAUCAUGUGGAAAAAAUCCUGCGUAACAAUUUAAUUAGUAGAAAAAAUAAUUAAGAGAAGUAAAUACAGAAAUAAUGUAUUAAUGUUGAAGUUUUAUAUACAGUAGAGUCAGGUGUGAAGAUUUUAGCCUAUUUACAGCAAUGUUUUGUUUAAAGUAUUUGCCAUUGUUGUUAAUCUACAGUUAGACAUAUCAUAAAGCAUAAUGACUUAGUUCUACAUGUUCAGUUAUUAUUUGUUAUGAGAAAAAGAAACUAAAAAAGUUUCAUUUGAACAUUGCAAUAAUAAAACAGUUGCUCAUUCA